rnacentral:rRNA from 1 species
UACGUAGGGUGCAAGCGUUGUCCGGAAUUAUUGGGCGUAAAGAGCUCGUAGGCGGUCUGUCGCGUCGGAUGUGAAAUCCCGAGGCUUAACCUCGGGCCUGCAUUCGAUACGGGCAGACUAGAGUUCGGUAGGGGAGACUGGAAUUCCUGGUGUAGCGGUGAAAUGCGCAGAUAUCAGGAGGAACACCGGUGGCGAAGGCGGGUCUCUGGGCCGAUACUGACGCUGAGGAGCGAAAGCGUGGGGAGCAAACAGG